AAGCUCCUUCGACGAGUCGAGUUGUUUGGGAAUGCAGCUCAAAAUGGGUGGUAAAUUUCAUCUAAAGCUAAAUAUUGGCCAGAGACCGAUAGCGCACAAGUAGAGUGAUCGAAAGAUGAAAAGCACUUUGGAAAGAGAGUCACACAGUACGUGAAAUUGUUGAAAGGGAAGCGCUUGCACCCAGACUUGCCCGCGGGUGAUCAGCCGGUAUUUUUACCGGCGCACUCGCCCGUGGUCAGGCCAGCAUCGGUUUGGGCGGCUGGAUAAAGUCCACUGGAAUGUAGCUCCUCUCGGGGAGUGUUAUAGCCAGAGGUGCCAUGCAGCCCGCCCGGACCGAGGACCGCGCUUCGGCUAGGAUGCUGGCGUAAUGGUUGUAAGCGACCCGUCUUGAAACACGGACCAAGGAGUCUAACAUCUAUGCGAGUGUUUGGGUGUCAAACCCAUGCGCGUAAUGAAAGUGAACGGAGGUGGGAACCCUUAAGGGUGCACCAUCGACCGAUCCUGAUGUCUUCGGAUGGAUUUGAGUAAGAGCAUAGCUGUUGGGACCCGAAAGAUGGUGAACUAUGCCUGAAUAGGGUGAAGCCAGAGGAAACUCUGGGGCUCGCAGCGGUUCUGACGUGCAAAUCGAUCGUCAAAUUU
rnacentral:rRNA from 1 species